UACGGAGGAUGCAAGCGUUAUCCGGAUUCAUUUGGGUUUAAAGGGUGCGUAGGCGGGCUAUUAAGUCAGUGGUGAAAUCCUGCAGCUUAACUGCAGAACUGCCGUUGAUACUGAUAGUCUUGAGUUUGGUUAAGGUAGGCGGAAUGUGUAAUGUAGCGGUGAAAUGCUUAGAUAUUACACAGAACACCAAUUGCGUAGGCAGCUUACUGAGCCGACACUGACGCUGAGGCACGAAAGCGUGGGGAUCAAACA
rnacentral:rRNA from 1 species